CCUGCUUGCAGGCCGUGUUAUUUGGAUACAUUGCAGGGGCACAAACAACUCGAGUGUCUUUGCGACCACACGCUCCGCCUCUCAGUCAAUCCAGACAAAUUCUACGAGUUGUGCUGAAGCUUUUAAGCUGUAAUUGAGCACAGGAUGGCCAGGAAAACCAAAGCCAGCUCUGCACAGACCUGCGUUUUUAUAGCUGCUAUAGUAUUCUGCUGCGCUUUUUUUUCCUCCCCAGCCAGACAGACACCACAAAACUGGCCAAGCGUGAUAGGAAGUCGCCACCUACACGGACUCAAAGCCAGCAGCUGAGGGUUUUCAACGACAUAGAAACAUGUCAUGUCUGUACACAAGGUGACAGAAAUGUAGGCCGACAGCGAUGGCGACGACAGAGGGGCAGGGCGGACCACACAGGGGCCAUGCAAGGAAACUGACCAACUCCACGGUCAACGGGAGCACCUCUGGCUGACCAGCGGAGACGCACAAUGCUGGAUUAGCCUGCAGAGGGUAUCCUGGGAAACGAGGCGUCAGCAGGAGCGGGCCUGGACAAAAGGACAAACUGGACUUCAAUAAAUGAAAUUUUACAAAGGAAAAAAAUAGAGGGGGAAAACAAACAAAGAAAUAAGUCGCAAUUCAGUGUAGUGAUAGGGAUUCAAAUCUUUAAGUAACUCAAUGUACAAACUAGGUUAGUGCGUCAGAAAAACCCUCGUGUCAUAAUUGCCACUUGCUAUUGAUGGCUUGGGGAUUGUAGAACAAAAGAAAAAAAAAACAGUCAGAGCUUAAAGUGAAUUUCUACUUUCAUUCCAGUCUUCGAAAUGUGUGCGCAUGCUCAAAAAAAAUUUGAGCAUAAAUUUCUAAUACCUUUAAUAAAAGAAAAAACUCGGAUUGAGCCGGGUGAAUAGUA